GGACUACCCGGGUAUCUAAUCCCGUUUGCUCCCCUAGCUUUCGCGCAUCAGCGUCAGAAGAGGUCCAGCAGCUCGCUUUCGCCACCGGCGUUCCUUCCAAUAUCAACGCAUUUCACCGCUCCACUGGAAGUUCCAACUGCCCCUACCUCCCUCCAGCUGACCAGUAUCCAAGGCACUUUUCCGGUUAAGCCGAAAGAUUUCACCCCAGACUUGAUCAACCGCCUACGCGCCCUUUAAGCCCAGUGAUUCCGAACAACGUUCGCACGGUUCGUCUUACCGCGGCUGCUGGCAC
rnacentral:rRNA from 1 species